rnacentral:rRNA from 1 species
AGAGUUUGAUCAUGGCUCAGGAUGAACGCUGGCGGCGUGCCUAACACAUGCAAGUCGAACGAAGGACUCGGAUUUCUUCGGAAGGAAAAGGACUGAGUGGCGGACGGGUGAGUAACGCGUGGGCAACCUGCCCCAUACAGGGGGAUAACAGCCGGAAACGGCUGCUAAUACCGCAUAAGCGCACAGUUUCGCAUGGAACAGUGUGAAAAACUCCGGUGGUAUGGGAUGGACCCGCGUCUGAUUAGCUGGUUGGCGGGGCAACGGCCCACCAAGGCGACGAUCAGUAGCCGGCCUGAGAGGGUGGACGGCCACAUUGGGACUGAGACACGGCCCAAACUCCUACGGGAGGCAGCAGUGGGGAAUAUUGCACAAUGGGGGAAACCCUGAUGCAGCGACGCCGCGUGAGUGAGGAAGUAUUUCGGUAUGUAAAGCUCUAUCAGCAGGGAAGAAAGAAUGACGGUACCUGACUAAGAAGCACCGGCUAAAUACGUGCCAGCAGCCGCGGUAAUACGUAUGGUGCAAGCGUUAUCCGGAUUUACUGGGUGUAAAGGGGAGCGCAGGCGGUACGGCAAGUCUGAUGUGAAAAGCCCCGGGGCCCAACCCCCGGUACUGCAUUGGAAAACUGUCGGACUGGAGUGUCGGAGGGGGCAAGCGGAAUUUCCUUAGUGUAGCGGUGAAAUGCGUAGAUAUUAGGAGGGAACACCGGGGGCGAAGGCGGCUUGCUGGGACGACAACUUGACGCCUGAGGCUUCGAAAGCGUGGGGAAGCAAACAGGAUUAGAUACCCUGGGUAGUCCACGC